GAAGGAAGCCGAUGGAGCUGUCGUUUCAGGCGCGCAGCAAUCAGUCGUGAACGGCUUGCACCGGCUUGCAGCGACGGCAGCGGCGUGUUCGUUCGCUGCUGCUGCCGAGGCGCUGUUCGCCCAGUGAGUUCCGGUGUUUGGUCGAAGCGAUGCAUUUGCUGCGCGCUGGCGUUACGAGCAGCGCUUGGCGGUUGCCUGGUUGAGCAACGCGAUCGUCCGUCCCUGGGGCGCCGCGCCGUGCAAGCGGCAGCGAACCGCUCCGGCGGACGGUCGGUAGCCGACUGGUGAUCUUGCAACCGAGACAUUGCCAACGCUGCAAUUUGCAAUUUGCGCUAGGCUGCUUCGCUAUGCCGAGGCAUGCUGUGCGGCAUCGUGGUUGCCACGUGUUGUCUGCGCUUGCCUGUUGCCAGUUUUUGUUGACCGAUUUUCCGAAGCGCCGUUGUUGCGGUGCUUUCGGCGAUUUCGGCAUGGUCGGGCGGCCAGACAGUGGCGAUCGCAAGUACGCAGGCACCUAUGCGCCAAUCGGUAACGUCUUUGUGACGGUCACCCAUCGGACCCGUCUUGAAACACGGACCAAGGAGUGCAGCAGUUACGCGAGUCAUUGACGACUUGUCUCUGUUUGUUUGAAAAGUCAAAGGCGUAACGAAAGUACACGCGAAAAGUUUGGUGUGUACAACUUUUGGCCUAGCUGCCAAAAGUGCAUACAGAAGCCGUUCGAUUCGUCACCCGCCCGCCCGCGCGCUAACGCGCGCGCGUACGCGGUGCGCGGUCGAUGCAACGGAUUCGGAGCGUACAUGCUGCUACCCGAAAGAUGGUGAACUAUGCCUGAGCAGGACGAAGCCAGAGGAAACUCUGGUGGAAGUUCGAAGCGGUGUUGACGUGCAAAUCACUCGCU
rnacentral:rRNA from 1 species